UACGGAGGAUGCAAGCGUUAUCCGGAAUGAUUGGGCGUAAAGCGUCCGCAGGUGGCUGUGUAAGUCUGCUGUCAAAGAGCGAAGCUCAACUUCGUAAAGGCAGUGGAAACUACACGGCUAGAGUGCGUUCGGGGCAGAGGGAAUUCCUGGUGUAGCGGUGAAAUGCGUAGAGAUCAGGAAGAACACCGGUGGCGAAGGCGAGUCCCUGGAAAAUACCUGACACUGAGGCACGAAAGCUAGGGGAGCAAACAGG
rnacentral:rRNA from 1 species